CACGUAGGGCGCAAGCGUUGUCCGGAAUUAUUGGGCGUAAAGAGCUCGUAGGCGGUCUGUUGCGUCCGCUGUGAAAACUCGGGGCUUAACCCCGAGCCUGCAGUGGAUACGGGCAGACUAGAGGUAGGUAGGGGAGAAUGGAAUUCCCGGUGUAGCGGUGAAAUGCGCAGAUAUCGGGAGGAACGACCGGUGGCGAAGGCGGAAGUCGUCUGGGCCUUACCGUCGUACGCUCAGGUGCGAAAGCUAAGGGGAGCGAACGAGGA
rnacentral:rRNA from 1 species